rnacentral:rRNA from 1 species
UACGUAGGGAGCAAGCGUUGUCCGGAAUCACUGGGCGUAAAGGGCGCGUAGGCGGCUCAUGAAGGCUGUGGUGAAAGUCCGGGGCUCAACCUCGGAUCGGCCGUGGCGACUCGUGGGCUGGAGCACUGUAGAGGCGGGUGGAAUUCCGGGUGUAGCGGUGGAAUGCGUAGAGAUCCGGAAGAACACCAGUGGCGAAGGCGGCCCGCUGGGCAGUGGCUGACGCUGAGGCGCGACAGCGUGGGGAGCAAACAGG